UACAGAGGUGGCAAGCGUUGUUCGGAAUUAUUGGGCGUAAAGAGCUCGUAGGCGGUCUGUUGCGUCGGCUGUGAAAACCCGGGGCUCAACCCCGGGCCUGCAGCCGAUACGGGCAGGCUAGAGUUCGGCAGGGGAGACUGGAAUUCCUGGUGUAGCGGUGAAAUGCGCAGAUAUCAGGAGGAACACCGGUGGCGAAGGCGGGUCUCUGGGCCGAUACUGACGCUGAGGAGCGAAAGCGUGGGGAGCGAACAGG
rnacentral:rRNA from 1 species